AACGAACGCUGGCGGCAGGCCUAACACAUGCAAGUCGAGCGAGGACUCCGGUCCUAGCGGCGGACGGGUGAGUAACGCGUGGGAACGUGCCCUUUGCUUCGGAAUAGCCCUGGGAAACUGGGAGUAAUACCGGAUGAGCCCUUUGGGGGAAAGAUUUAUCGGCGAAGGAUCGGCCCGCGUUGGAUUAGGUAGUUGGUGGGGUAAUGGCCUACCAAGCCGACGAUCCAUAGCUGGUUUGAGAGGAUGAUCAGCCACACUGGGACUGAGACACGGCCCAGACUCCAACGGGAGGCAGCAGUGGGGAAUCUUAGACAAUGGGGGAAACCCUGAUCUAGCCAGGCCGCGUGAGCGAUGAAGGCCUUAGGGUUGUAAAGCUCUUUCAGCUGGGAAGAUAAUGACGGUACCAGCAGAAGAAGCCCCGGCUAACUCCGUG
rnacentral:rRNA from 1 species